rnacentral:rRNA from 1 species
UACGUAGGGUGCGAGCGUUGUCCGGAAUUACUGGGCGUAAAGAGCUCGUAGGUGGUUUUGUCGCGUUGUUCGUGAAAUCUCACGGCUUAACUGUGAGCGUGCGGGCGAUACGGGCAGACUAGAGUACUGCAGGGGAGACUGGAAUUCCUGGUGUAGCGGUGGAAUGCGCAGAUAUCAGGAGGAACACCGGUGGCGAAGGCGGGGUCUCUGGGCAGUAACUGACGCUGAGGAGCGAAAAGCGUGGGGGAGCGAACAGG